rnacentral:rRNA from 1 species
UUAACACAUGCAAGUCGAGGGGCAGCAUGGUCUUAGCUUGCUAAGGCUGAUGGCGACCGGCGCACGGGUGAGUAACACGUAUCCAACCUGCCGUCUACUCUUGGCCAGCCUUCUGAAAGGAAGAUUAAUCCAGGAUGGGAUCAUGAGUUCACAUGUCCGCAUGAUUAAAGGUAUUUUCCGGUAGACGAUGGGGAUGCGUUCCAUUAGAUAGUAGGCGGGGUAACGGCCCACCUAGUCAACGAUGGAUAGGGGUUCUGAGAGGAAGGUCCCCCACAUUGGAACUGAGACACGGUCCAAACUCCUACGGGAGGCAGCAGUGAGGAAUAUUGGUCAAUGGGCGAUGGCCUGAACCAGCCAAGUAGCGUGAAGGAUGACUGCCCUAUGGGUUGUAAACUUCUUUUAUAAAGGAAUAAAGUCGGGUAUGCAUACCCGUUUGCAUGUACUUUAUGACUGACGAUCGGCUAACUCCGUGCCAGCAGCCGCGGUAAUACGGAGGAUCCGAGCGUUAUCCGGAUUUAUUGGGUUUAAAGGGAGCGUAGAUGG